GACGAACGCUGGCGGCGUGCCUAAUACAUGCAAGUAGAACGCUGAAGGAGGAGCUUGCUUCUCUGGAUGAGUUGCGAACGGGUGAGUAACGCGUAGGUAACCUGCCUGGUAGUGGGGGAUAACUAUUGGAAACGAUAGCUAAUACCGCAUAAUAGCAGUUGUUGCAUGAUAACUGUUUGAAAGGUGCAAUUGCACCGCUACCAGAUGGACCUGCGUUGUAUUAGCUAGUUGGUGGGGUAACGGCUCACCAAGGCGACGAUACAUAGCCGACCUGAGAGGGUGAUCGGCCACACUGGGACUGAGACACGGUCCAGACUCCUACGGGAGGCAGCAGUAGGGAAUCUUCGGCAAUAGACGGAAGUCUGACCGAGCAACGCCGCGUGAGUGAAGAAGGUUUUCGGAUCGUAAAGCUCUGUUGUAAGAGAAGAACGAGUGUGAGAGUGGAAAGUUCACACUGUGACGGUAUCUUACCAGAAAGGGACGGCUAACUACGUG
rnacentral:rRNA from 1 species